rnacentral:rRNA from 1 species
UACGUAGGUGACCAGCGUUGUCCGGAUUUACUGGGCGUAAAGAGCGCGCAGGCGGUCGUUCAAGUCGAGUGUGAAAGCCCCCGGCUCAACUGGGGAGGGUCAUUCGAUACUGAUCGACUCGAAGGCAGGAGAGGGAAGCGGAAUUCCCGGUGUAGUGGUGAAAUGCGUAGAUAUCUGGAGGAAUACCGGUGGCGAAGGCGGCAUCCUGGACCGACAUUGACGCUGAGGAGCGAAAGCUAGGGGAGCAAACGGG